rnacentral:rRNA from 1 species
GAUCCUGGCUCAGGAUGAACGCUAGCUACAGGCUUAACACAUGCAAGUCGAGGGGAAACGAUAGAGAAAGCUUUGCGUUUUUCUAGGCGUCGACCGGCGCACGGGUGAGUAACGCGUAUCCAACCUGCCCAUCACUUGGGGAUAACCUUGCGAAAGUAAGACUAAUACCCAAUGACGUCUCUAGAAGACAUCUGAAAGAGAUUAAAGAUUUAUCGGUGAUGGAUGGGGAUGCGUCUGAUUAGCUUGUUGGCGGGGUAACGGCCCACCAAGGCGACGAUCAGUAGGGGUUCUGAGAGGAAGGUCCCCCACAUUGGAACUGAGACACGGUCCAAACUCCUACGGGAGGCAGCAGUGAGGAAUAUUGGUCAAUGGACGAGAGUCUGAACCAGCCAAGCAGCGUGCAGGAAGACGGCCCUAUGGGUUGUAAACUGCUUUUAUAAGGGAAUAAAGUGAGUCUCGUGAGACUUUUUGCAUGUACCUUAUGAAUAAGGACCGGCUAAUUCCGUAG